rnacentral:sRNA from 1 species
AAGCUGCCGCAGGUUCGAGUUGAGCGCAGCGAAACAACGGAGCCGCUCGCGGCGACGGCCCGAAGGGCGAGCGAAGCGAGUCAUCCUGCACGACCCACCA